rnacentral:rRNA from 1 species
AUUGAACGCUGGCGGAAUGCUUUGCACAUGCAAGUCGAACGGCAGCAUAGGUGCUUGCACCUGAUGGCGAGUGGCGAACGGGUGAGUAAUACAUCGGAACGUGCCCAGUCGUGGGGGAUAACGUAGCGAAAGUUACGCUAAUACCGCAUACGAUCUAAGGAUGAAAGCGGGGGACCGUAAGGCCUCGCGCGAUUGGAGCGGCCGAUGUCAGACUAGGUAGUUGGUGAGGUAAAGGCUCACCAAGCCGACGAUCUGUAGCUGGUCUGAGAGGACGACCAGCCACACUGGGACUGAGACACGGCCCAGACUCCUACGGGAGGCAGCAGUGGGGAAUUUUGGACACUGGGGGCAACACUGAUCCAGCAAUGCCGCGUGAGUGAAGAAGGCCUUCGGGUUGUAAAGCUCUUUUGUCAGGGAAGAAACAGCAGCUCUAACACAGUCUGCGAAUGACGGUACCUGAAGAAUAAGCACCGGCUAACUACGUGCCAGCAGCCGCGGUAA